AGUGAACGCUGGCGGUAGGCCUAACACAUGCAAGUCGAACGGCAGCACAGGAGAGCUUGCUCCCUGGGUGGCGAGUGGCGGACGGGUGAGGAAUACAUCGGAAACUACCUUCUUGUGGGGGAUAACGUAGGGAAACUUACGCUAAUACAGCAUACGAGCUACGGGGGAAAGUGGGGGACCGCAAGGCCUCACGCGAUUAGAUGAGACGAUGUCCGAGUAGCUAGUUGGCGGGGUAAUGGCCCACCAAGGCGAAGAUCGGUAGCCGGUCUGAGAGGAUGAUCAGCCACACUGGAACUGAGACACGGUCCAGACUCCUACGGGAGGCAGCAGUGUGGAAUAUUGGACAAUGGGCGCAAGCCUGAUCCAGCCAUACCGCGUGGGUGAAGAAGGCCUUCGGGUUGUAAAGCCCUUUUGUUGGGAAAGAAAUCCUGUCGAUUAAUACUCGGUGGGGAUGACGGUACCCAAAGAAUAAGCACCGGCUAACUUCGUGCCAGCCGCCGCCGUAACAC
rnacentral:rRNA from 1 species